rnacentral:rRNA from 1 species
GUCCACAUCGACGGGGAGGUUUGGCACCUCGAUGUCGGCUCAUCACAUCCUGGGGCUGUAGUAGGUCCCAAGGGUUGGGCUGUUCGCCCAUUAAAGUGGUACGCGAGCUGGGUUCAGAACGUCGUGGGACAGUUCGGUCCCUAUCCGUCGCAGGCGUAGGAAAUUUGAGAAGACCUGUCCUUAGUACGAGAGGACCGGGAUGGACGUACCUCUGGUGUACCAGUUGUCCUGCCAAGGGCAUGGCUGGGUAGCUAUGU